CUGCCAGUAGUCAUAUGCUUGUCUCAAAGAUUAAGCCAUGCAUGUCUAAGUACAUACUAAAUUAAAGUGAAACCGCGAAUGGCUCAUUAAAUCAGUUACGGUUCCUUAGAUAUUUAAUAAUCUACAUGGAUAACUGUGGUAAUUCUAGAGCUAAUACAUGCAAUUAAGCCUCGACUUUCGGGAAGAGGUGCAUUUAUUAGACCAAGACCAAUGGGGUUUUCGGACUCCUCGUCAUGGUGACUCUGGAUAACUGAGCUAAUCGCACGGCCUAUGCGCCGGCGAUGAAUCUUUCAAGUGUCUGCCUUAUCAACUGUCGAUGGUAGGUUAUAUGCUUACCAUGGUUGUAACGGGUAACGGGGAAUCAGGGUUCGGUUCCGGAGAAGGAGCCUGAGAA
rnacentral:rRNA from 1 species